rnacentral:rRNA from 1 species
UACGUAGGGUCCGAGCGUUGUCCGGAAUUAUUGGGCGUAAAGGGCUCGUAGGCGGUUCGUCACGUCGGGAGUGAAAACUCGGGGCUUAACCCCGAGCCUGCUUCCGAUACGGGCAGACUAGAGGUAGGCAGGGGAGAGCGGAACUCCUGGUGUAGCGGUGGAAUGCGCAGAUAUCAGGAAGAACACCGGUGGCGAAGGCGGCUCUCUGGGCCGAUACUGACGCUGAGGAGCGAAAGCGUGGGGAGCGAACAG